rnacentral:lncRNA from 1 species
CAGAUUUGGCUAGCUGCCUGAAUGGAGUGCUGAAAACAAAAUACAGCCUUUGUAUUGCCAUCAGCAGUGAGUCCUGUAUGAAGCUGAGACUGGGGAAGCUGAUCAAGAAUGGACUACAAAGAAGAAAAAGAAUGGUGUAACUGACUGUCUGAUCCAAGCGGGCAGAGUCUUCAGACAACUGUUUCCUUGACCGUUUUUCCAGGUAAGUACAGUUAAGGUCAUAGAA